rfam:Arthroderma gypseum CBS 118893 supercont1.1 genomic scaffold, whole genome shotgun sequence.
GGCAAGGUGGCCGAGCGGUCUAAGGCGCCAGAUUAAGGCUAACCUUAAUCAGUAAUAAUCAGCGGUGAUCACCACCACAAGAUAUUCUGGUCCUCCUUGAGGGCGUGGGUUCGAAUCCCACCCUUGUCA